UGAAAAAAAAAAAAAAAGAAAAAUGAAUUUCACCUGUUUAUUUUUACGUUUGUAAUGGUACUUCUGGAAAAAUUUUGAUUCCAUACAUGGUUCACGCUAUAUUUCUAUUGGAUGGAGCUGCUCUAUAAUUGACUUACCCAUUCUGUUUGUUAUUAAUGGUCGGUCUCGCUCUGCUAGGACGGACGCCCCCUGAGGGCAAGGCGUUUUUUGCCUGGCUUGUGCCCUGCUGUAUUCCCAGUGCUUGUAAUGUACAUACACACAGUAGGUGCUCAAUAAAUAUUUGUUGAGAGUGAAUCGCUAGCUAAAUUUCACUGUGCAAGGGCCAUGCAUACUUAGCUCUGCGCUAAGCAGAGGCUUUAAUAAUGCAUUCAAUUCUUAGAACAACUCCGCCUAGUAGGUGCUGCUGUUCCCAUCUGCAGGGGGGGAAACGGGCUCAGAGGGGUUAAGUGACUGGUUCAGAGUCCCCCAGAGCCAACAGCCCGCCUGCGCAGGAUGAGGCUGGCAGUUGCCCCUUGGGAAAGUGGGACCCCGCCUUUCCUCCAGGGCUUCUCCUCCGAUGCAGGUUGUUCUGGGGAGCGGGCAGCUCGCUGCGGGGGCGGGGCCGGAUUCUCAAGUCCAAGCUGAAGGACAGGAUGCUGUGUGCUGCCCCUUCAUGGUCUCAUGGUUUUCCUGGCCGCUAUCCCCUGCCGGGAGGCCGCCUGCAGCUCCCCGUGGCGACCUUUCACCCAGGAGGGACCGGGAGGGCGGGGCCUGGAUUCUUCGAACCACUUUUGAAUUUUAACUGCUGUGUCCUGCGCAGCCUGGCGGCUGAGCCUGGGACUCUGAACUGAAGGUGGGUUUGGUGAGGGGGGUGGGGGGGUGGAGAUGGGGUGGCAGAGCCUCCGGGGAGCUUCCGGUCCCAGUACCCACAGAGGCUGCUGUCCUGGGUCCCCUGAGUAGGGCUCCCUGGUGUGAAUAAGAAGGGAAACGUCAGGAACCUGACCCUGCUUUUCCACAGGGACGAAGGAACAACGAGCAGAAAGGGCUGCCCUUCCCCACCAUCGGGAGAUAAAGCUAAAUUGAGGAGCUGUUCGCCUUCUAGAGAAUGACACAGGACCUACUUUGUCACUGACCGCACUCCGACCCCCACCCCUGGCUGGCCUCAGGCCACCUUAGCCUUUCUUGACGAGGUAUGGGUCUCCUAGGGUUGCUUAAGAUGACUUUUCGUAAAGCGCGCAAUGCAGAGAUGCCAAACUUUCUUGGUUUGAGGCACCCCCGGGGUCUCAGAAAUUUUUUCAGGGCACCUCCUACUCCCACCCGUGCGAAACAAAACAAAACAUCAAAACCAAAACCAAACCUAGCCGUUACGUUAGGUCAAGACAACCCUUUUUUAAAAAUUUUGUUUAAUGUUUAUUUAUUGUGGAGAGAGAGAGGCAGAGCACAAGCAGGGGAGGGGCAGAGAAAGAGGGAGACACCGAAUCUGAAGCGGCUCCAGGCUCUGAGCUGUCAGCACAGAGCCUGAUGUGGGGCUCGAACCCACCAACCGUGAGAUCAUGACCUGAGCCCAAGUAGGACGCCUGACUGACUGAGCCACCCAGGCACCCCUAAGGUCAAAACAACUCUUAAAUCUGCAUGUUCUAACAACUUAGUAGCCACUUGCAAAAUACACAAAAGCUGAAAGAAAGAGUAAUAUUUUAGUUCCUUCCUGAAUAAUGCUAAGUACACCCUAAUGGAAUGAGAGCUUGUUGGACUCUCAACAACUCAACCCUUGGAAUUACAUUGGUCAUUACCAUCCUAAUUUCCUGCUCCACAGUAAUUUUCACAUUAUACUUGUUUUUUAUCGAAACUGCCAUCAACCCAGCUCUACCGAGUUGCAACAUCAUCCGAAGGAAUGAAGCUCCGACAUUGAAAAUGCGAACUACCUAGAGCUAGCAGUUUUCAAGGUGUCCGGCAGGUGUCGCUGUGGACCUCUCAAAAAGCUUCUGAACUGGUCUGCGGCAGGCUGAGACCUGCCCACCUAAUAACGGAGCGACGUGGACACGGUAGGUACUCCGUACACUCAGCUCAGUAGCUGUGAGCUUUAUCGCCAUUCUGCCCCACUCGGUGAGCAGCGAUUUGCAAGGCCAAAGUUCAGGGAAAGCAUAAGGCUUCCCCCUUGGGCAUCAGAGACAGCACAAGAGGGGUGCCCUUUCAGCCAAUCUCCGCGCUCUCUUGGAAAUCAGUUACCACCCCCAUCUCAGGGUCCCCCUCUAUUCAGACUCAGACUCUUCUUCCUCCCAGCCCCUCUACCCUUUAACCCUUAUUGAACAGUGGCUGGCGUAUGCAAUGUUUGCCCGCUUUCUCCUUUAACACCUCAACAGCCUCAGGAGGUAGGGACAUCUAUCCCAUUUUACAGCUGAGGAAACCAGGGCUGUAACCUGUCUAGCUGGUGCAUAGCAGAGCUAGGAUUUGAAUCCAAGUCCUUCGGAUGCCAGAGUCCAAGCUCUAACCACUAUUCCAUGCUACCUUUUUUUUCUUUUUUUUUUUUUUUUGAGAGAGAGAGAGAGAGAGAGAAAGAGAGCAUGUGCACUCACGAGACCAUGAGCCGGGGGAGGAGCAGAGAGAGAGGGGGACAGAGGAUCCAAAGCAGGCUCCAUGCUGGCAGCAGUGAGCCCAAUGAGGGGCUCGAACUCACGAACCCUGAGAUCAUGACCUGAGCCGAAGUCAGACACUCAACCGACCGAGCCACCCAGGUGCCCCGCUACCUCUUUUUUUUUUGAGGCAGUUUGCUCUCACCAAACCCCUGUUACUGUUACUUUGGUGGUGGUGGUGGUUCUGGGCGAUUCUGCCUCUCGGCCUUGACACUUUCGAGCUGGUUUUGCAGAUGAAGAGACUGAGGUGCCAAGGAAUAAAACAGUGGUCAAGAGCACAGACUCCACUCGUGGCUGCCUGGGUUUGAGCCUGGCUCUGCCACUUACCAGCUGUGUGACCUUGGGCCACUUGCUUAACAUCUCUGUGCCUCGGUUUCCUCUUCGCUGACGUGGAGGUGAAAAUACUAUCUGCCCUGUGAGUUGGCAGGAAGAUUAAUGAGAUAAUACACGGGAGGCACUGUGACGGGCACCUUGUAAGCACACCCCCCACCGGAAGAGUGUUGUCACAUGGUUAUGAACACGAGUGCCCCCCUCCCCUUGGCCAGGCUUUCUCUUCUUUUGCAGAAGUUCUUCCCAUAAGAGGCCCUGUCGCCCAUCCCCUUUGACUGCUAAGCCCUGAUUCUGGCAUUCAAGGCCAUCCUUAACCUCAACUCUACCCUCUAACCAGCCACACUUUCGGCCACUUCCGGAGCACGUCUGCAACUCUCACAUCUACGCUCUUGCACAAGCUGUUUCCUCUACCUGGACACCUCCACCUGUUAACCUGUCCUGAAGAUCCUCCCGGGCCUCCUUCUGACCCCUUCUAUUGCCAUUAGCAACAGAAGCCUUCACUAGCCAGCCUUCCCUAACCUCCCUGGGGCAGGACCAGGAUACCCCGGACUGAGGGUUAGAAAUACAGGUUUCUGACUGCACAUUCAAAGGGUUUGAUUUUUAGUAGAUCCGGAGUGUGGCCCAAAUACGUAAGCCCUUAAAUAAAUAAAUAAACUUAAAAAAAAAAAAGACACCACAUGUAAAAUGAAGUGAUUUGGUGCGUGUACGUGUGUCGGUAUAAACCACGGUGAGCGGUUAUGGGAAGAUGGCCUCCAAAGAUGUAUCUGCAGUUAUCUCUAGAUAGUGGGAUUUCAGGUAAUGUUUACUCUCUUGCUUAUUCUUUUCUGUAUGAUUUGAAUAGUUUAACAUGAAUAUUUACUUUUUAUAUCAAAAAGAAUGUUUUUGGGGGGCGCCUGGGUGGCUCCGUCGGUUAAGCGUCCAACUCUUGGUUUCAGCUCAGGUCAUGAUCUCAUGGUUCGUGAGUUCAAGCCCCACGUCAGGCUCUGCACUGACAGCACGGAGCCUGCUUGGGAUUCUGUCUCCCUCUCUCACUGCCCCUCCCCCCCGCUCUCUCUCUCUCUCUCAAAAACAAAUAAAC
rnacentral:lncRNA from 1 species